CAGAGCGGAGUGGGACGCCCCUUCCCCCACUCUCACCUGCUUGUCUUGAGGAUGCAGGACCAGGAACGGUGGACCGGCCCAGUCCAGGUCCUAGCGGGCGGUCUACUCAGCGGUGUGAGGAGAUCCAUAUGCUUCGGGUUGCGCAGAGUGGGCGAGAAGAGCUGUGCAAGCCCAGUGAAGUUCUGUGUGGAGCGGGAGCAGCGGCAGAGGACCAGAGGCCAG